AGGGGUUUAGGCUAGACUAGACCAAGGGCCUUCAAAGCCCUAAGCAAAUCAUACAGAUUUAAUCCCUG
rnacentral:tRNA from 1 species